GCUAAUUUGUACCAAGUGGUAGAGCCCUCUCCCAAGGAUGGUCUCAUGUCUUAGGACCUUGAGGGAGAGAAAAGACAAGCUCAUGGGAACAGGCCGCUUCAGUGGCCCUCACACCAGAACACAGAGGAAGCCAAGAAUGAAACCUCACAACGUAGCCAAGGAUGACCUUGAACUUCGGAACUGCCUGCCUCCACCUCGGAAAGGCCAAGAUGCUGUGAUAACAUCCACUGUGAGCAACUGGUGAUUCAAUCCCAGGCUUUGUGCAUCCUAGAGAGAGGCCCCACCUCCACCCCACCCCCUACUCCCCACCCCCCAGCCACUGAAAUCUCUUUGGAUCUCAACAAUGUCAGGAGCACCAAGGAUUAGCGACAGCUGAGUCUCCUGUGUCUUGUGUCCCUGCUCCUCUCCUGCUGGAUCUGGCUGACAAACCCUUGGCAUUCCAUGUCUCCAGGAAGGCACAGUUCUGAAUUCUGCCCAUUCAGUUCUGGUGGUCUGAGACACAUUGACACUCCUCCAAGACCAACUGCUGUAGCAUCAGGCUGCUUGGUCAGAGUUGAGGCAAACCGAAGGAUUGAGUCAAGAUGCAGAACAGGACUGUCAGCAUCAACGGCAGGACAACAUUGGACUGAAAUCCCUGGGACAGGCCCUACGCAGAGCCUCCAGAAGGUGCAUCUGGGUGGUGGCUUUCUGCAGAGUGGGCAGAGAUCUUCGUGGACGCCUCCGGAAACUCCAGAAUUAUUUGUGUUCUCUUCCCCCCUUCCCACUCCCCAGCCAUAAAAAAUGAUGACUCCCAAAAA